rnacentral:misc_RNA from 1 species
GAUGAAAACGUAGCGAAAUGCGAUAAGUAGUGUGAAUUGCAGAAUUCAGUGAAUCAUCGAAUCUUUGAACGCACAUUGCGCCCUUUGGUAUUCCUUAGGGCAUGCCUGUUCGAGCGUCAUUUAAACCUUCAAGCUCAGCUUGGUGUUGGGUGACUGUCCGCCGCCUCCGGGCGGUCGGACUCGCCUCAAAUUGAUUGGCGGCCGGUACUUUGGCUUCGAGCGCAGCAGAAACGCGAACUCGAGGCCGUCGUCCUGGCUCCCAGAAGCUAUCUUCACAAUUUUGACCUCGGAUCAGGUAGGGAUACCCGCUGAACUUAAGCAUAUCAAUAAGCGGAGGA